AACGAACGCUGGCGGCAGGCUUAACACGUGCAAGUCGAACGCAUCCUUCGGGGUGAGUGGCAGACGGGUGAGUAACGCGUGGGAACGUGCCCUUCAGUUCGGGAUAACCCAGGGAAACUUGGGCUAAUACCGGAUACGUGCGAGAGCAGAAAGAUUUAUCGCUGAAGGAUCGGCCCGCGUCUGAUUAGCUAGUUGGUGGGGUAAUGGCCCACCAAGGCGACGAUCAGUAGCCGGUCUGAGAGGAUGAUCAGCCACAUUGGGACUGAGACACGGCCCAAACUCCUACGGGAGGCAGCAGUGGGGAAUAUUGGACAAUGGGCGCAAGCCUGAUCCAGCCAUGCCGCGUGAGUGAUGAAGGCCUUAGGGUUGUAAAGCUCUUUCGUCCGGGACGAUAAUGACGGUACCGGAAGAAGAAGCCCCGGCUAACUUCGUGCCAGCCGCCGCGGUAACAC
rnacentral:rRNA from 1 species